rnacentral:tRNA from 1 species
GCCUGGUUGGCUUAGUCGGUAGAGCAUGUAACUCUUGAUCUUGGGGUUGUGAGUGCAAGCCUCACACUGGGUC